UACGGGGGGGGCAAGCGUUGUUCGGAUUUAUUGGGCGUAAAGGGUGCGUAGGCGGUUGGCAAGUCUGAUGUGAAAUCUAUGGGCUCAACCCAUAGUCUGCAUCAGAAACUGCCGGGCUGAGUAUGGGAGAGGUGAGUGGAAUUUCCGGUGUAGCGGUGAAAUGCGUAGAUAUCGGAAGGAACACCUGUGGCGAAAGCGGCUC
rnacentral:rRNA from 1 species